UUCCGUAGGUGAACCUGCGGAAGGAUCAUUGUCAACACCU
rnacentral:rRNA from 1 species